rnacentral:rRNA from 1 species
UACGGAGGGUGCAAGCGUUGUUCGGAAUUACUGGGCGUAAAGCGCGUGUAGGCGGUUUGGUAAGUCAGAUGUGAAAGCCCUGAGCUCAACUCAGGAAGUGCAUUUGAAACUGCCUUACUCGAGUAUGGGAGAGGAGAGUGGAAUUCCCAGUGUAGAGGUGAAAUUCGUAGAUAUUGGGAGGAACACCCGUGGCGAAGGCGACUCUCUGGACCAAAACUGACGCUGAGACGCGAAAGCGUGGGGAGCAAACAGG